CUCUUAAUAACAAUUAUAUUAAGUAGAAUCUGCCCAAUGACGAUUAAAUGGCCGCAGUAUCCUGACUGUGCUAAGGUAGCAUAAUCAUUUGUCUUUUAAAUAAAGAAUGGAAUGAAAGAUCUGAUAUAGAAUUAUCUGUCUUAUUUAUAAAGCUUAAUUUACGAUUAAAGUUAAAAUACUUUAGAUCUUAAGGGGACGAUAAGACCCUAAAAACUUCAUCUUUAAAAAUCUUAUAUCUAUAGAAUAAAAAGAAAAUAAAAGAUUUUACUGGGGAGGUAAAAUUUAAUUUUAAAUCAAAUUUUGAAAUAACAAUAUGAAUGAAUUUAACAAUCUUAACUAUAACUUUAAUAAUAAGUUACUUUAGGGAUAACAGCAUAAUAUUUUCUAAGAGUCCUUAUCGCUGAAAAUGAUUAUGACCUCGAUGUUGAAUUGAAGUACCUUAACUAAAGCAGUAUUUAUUAAAGGAAGUCUGUUCGACUUAUAACCCUUC
rnacentral:rRNA from 1 species